UACGUAGGGAGCGAGCGUUGUCCGGAUUCAUUGGGCGUAAAGAGCUCGUAGGCGGCUUGGCAAGUCGGGUGUGAAAACUCCAGGCUCAACCUGGAGACGCCACCCGAUACUGCCAUGGCUAGAGUCCGGUAGGGGACCACGGAAUUCCUGGUGUAGCGGUGAAAUGCGCAGAUAUCAGGAAGAACACCGGUGGCGAAGGCGGCCCACUGGAUCGGUACUGACGCUGAGGUGCGAAAGCGUGGGGAGCAAACAGG
rnacentral:rRNA from 1 species